GUUUGGUACAAGAAAGUAAUUCCUCAGCUCAAAUGAAGAGAAGAGAAAUGGAGGAGAUUGCUAUACUGUGUUUACCCUCAAAAACGAUGCCAAACAGAACUGCUUAGCCCAGGUUGAGAACCAUUGCUUGAAGGCGCUGUUCCCUGAUGAGAAAUUAUGAGCUGAUGGCAGCCCACAUUGACAUCGAGCUCCCCACUGCUGGUGAGCUCCACACCUGUAAGCCACACGCAUUUCUUGCCAACCUGACUGAGAGAGAAGGAGCUGUGGAGAACACCUCAUUCUGGGGUGUGCACAUGAUUGUCAUGAGAAGCAAACAUGUUCUCCAGACCGGUGUGUUCCAUUUUGAUCAAUUUAAGACUGUUUCAUUGGAUGAGCAAAAGCUUGAGUACAGACAUGCUGCAAGUCAAGAUCACGCUCUAGAACCCUUCAUUCAUCACUGCCAGAUCUCCAUGGCUGUCAACCAGCUUUCAAGAGUGAGGCUAACAAAUAUCACUUCUGUUUCUACCCAGAUGCCUAUAGAGGCUAGAGUUUCUACUGCUGCCUCUGAUGAAAACUCUGAAGCUGAGCUCCACUUUGCACUGGGUCAUCAAUGACAGAUGAUCAACAAAGAAGCCAGUAUCCAGGAAAUAGGGUGAUGGAAUACCACGGAUUUGGUUCACAGCUCUGAGCAACCUCUGCUUACCUCAGAGCAGAAAAGGGCCCAUCUUCUCUCUGGUUAAUCUGAGCCACUGAGAACUUAGCCUUGUGGUACACAGCCAUCUUGUAACCCUUUGUGAUGAGAUAUCUAAGAAAGACUCAACUGUUUGAAAGAAAGCCAAACCCAGAGACGAGACACAUCUGCACGCAAAUGUCAAUCUGAGCUCACAAAAGCUUCUGGACUUCUUCCAUGACACAAAAACUUUCUCCUCAACUUGGUUACCUAUCACUUAUAACCCUGAGGACCUACUCAUAUGCUCUACUUGUCAAAAUAAAAAUCAGUUGACCCUCAGCUCCAAUGUCUAUGUGGAGAUAAGAUGAAAACUUUUUGGAGUUGGUUCUUUCUUUCCUCCAUGUGGGUCCCAAGGAUCUAACUCAGGUCAGCAGGCUUGGCAGCAAACAUCUUUAUCUUCUGAACCAUCUCACUGGUCAUCCUUCUCAGUAGUUCUCUUUAGAACUACUGAGAUCAUGAUCAAAAAAGAAAGAUAAGAAAUGGUCACAUGCUACACAGACUGGAGAACUACAUAUGAACAGAUAUCCUGGGCCA
rnacentral:lncRNA from 1 species